AAUAUUGCAAAAUGGGCGCAAGCCUGAUGCAGCAACGCCGCGUGCGCGACGAAGGACAUAGGGACGUAAAGCGCUUUUCGGAGAGAUAAGCACGGACAGAAUCCCCGGAAGAAGGAUCGGCUAACUACGUGCCAGCAGCCGCGGUAAAACGUAGGAUCCGAGCGUUAUCCGAAUUCACUGGGCGUAAAGCGCAUGCAGGCGGCCGCACAAGUUGGAUGUGAAAUCUCCCGGCUCAACUGGGAGGGGACGUUCAAAACUGUGCGGCUCGAGGGCGGUAGAGGAAGGUAGAAUUCCCGGUGUAGUGGUGAAAUGCGUAGAUAUCAGGAGGAAUACCCGUGGCGAAGGCGACCUUCUGGACCGUUUCUGACGCUCAGAUGCGAAAGCUAGGGGAGCGAACGGG
rnacentral:rRNA from 1 species